AAUUAAUCAGUCAACCAGCCAGUCAAUUGCUAAGUCACAUGGUCGGUUAAUUAAUCAGUCAACCAGCCAGUCAAUUGCUAAGUCACAUGGUCGGUUAAUUAAUCAGUCAACCAGCCAGUCAGUUGCUAAGUCACAUGGUCGGUUAAUUAAUCAGUCAACCAGCCAGUCAAUUGCUAAGUCACAUGGUCGGUUAAUUAAUCAGUCAACCAGCCAGUCAAUUGCUAAGUUGCAUGGUCGGUUAAUUAAUCAGUCAGUCAACCAGCCAGUCAAUUGCUAAGUCAGUCAGUCGGUGAAUUAGUCAGUCAGUCAACCAGCCAGUCAAUUGCCUACUCAUUCAGGUGGUUAAUUAAUCAGUCAACCAGCCAGUCAAUUGCUAAGCCACAUGGUCGGUUAAUUAAUCAGUCAGUCAACCAGCCAGUCAAUUGCUAACUCAUUCAGUCGGUUAAUUAAUCAGUCAGUCAACCAGCCAGUCAGAUGGUCACUUGGUCACAUAUAAUAAUAGUCAGAUAGACGGUGAGCAUUUAGAUCAGAUCAGAUGUCGUCCCGGGAUAUGCCUUUGCAGCGGCUCCCAGAUUUUCUUUUCACUCAGUGUCAAUGUUCUCGUGCUUAAACUCUUAUUUCCUUUUUCAAUAUUCACUUGACAUCUAGUUUUAUUCAUUUUCACUGGUUUUGCUCUUGUGUUUUAGCCUUCUGAAUUCUUUGUCUUUCCUUCCAGAGUUUUUGUUUAACCCGGUAGCAGCGACGGGCCAAAUUUGCGGCUUUACCGUGUACCAGCGAUGGGCGAAAUUUCUGCCAUUACAUAAACCUCCCAAAACAGAUGAUGCAUAAACUGAUCACACAUACGUUGAUAUAUAUUAUGAAAUGGUUUGCGUGAGUGAUGAUUCUUUCUCAUUAUUUUACUUAGAGGGGCCUUUAACCUAACCUAACCUAACCUAACCUAACCUAUCCCAUCCCAACCUAAGAAACAUGACCCCCGCAGCUACCGGGCUGUCAUUUUUCCUUUCUUCUACUUUCUCACUUCCUUUAUUGCUAUUUUUCAGUAAUAAUAUGUCAGCUAGGUGUUCGUCUACGUCUUUAACUCAUUGACUGCGGAUUUCCUGCAGUCAGACAUCACCAAGCUACAGGAAUGGAUCAAAAAGUGGCUGCAACAAUUCAAUGAAGAAAAAUGUAAAGUCCUGCACCUUGAGAGGGGAUAUCCAGCACACCAAUACCACAUGGGAAACACUCCACUAUCCACCACAGAGGCACAGAAAGACCGUAGUAUAUGUUACCAGGCUACCAGUGAAGGAUAUCCAGCAUACCAAUACCACAUGGGAAACACUCCACUAUCCACCACAGAGGCACAGAAAGACCGUAGUAUAUGUUACCAGGCUACCAGUGAAGGAUAUCCAGCAUACCAAUACUACAUGGGGAACACUCCACUAUCCACCACAGAGGCAGAGAAAGACCUGGGAGUAUAUGUUAUCAGGCUACCAGUGAAGGGAUAUCCAGCACACCAAUACCACAUGGGAAACACUCCACUAUCCACCACAGAGGCAGAGAAAGACCUGGGAGCAUAUGUUACCAGGCUACCAGUGAAGGGAUAUCCAGCACACCAAUACCACAUGGGAAACACUCCACUAUCCACCACAGAGGCA